AGCAUAAAUGCAAUAUCGGCAGACCGAAUAUGUCGAGACACCCGCCUGUGGUUUUUGGGUCUCUAGACAUUCGGGGGCACUUUAUAUGACCCUUGUAUGCAUACAGGAUGUUGCCCGAAAAAAUGGCACCCCCCCAGCUCUGUAAACUCAUUGCAGAAUAGUGAAACUAGCCAGUCGGUAAGAGAGCCUAAAGCGCAACAUCAGGCCAACAGACAGAAGAGUUAGCAGGCCAACAGAUAAUCGCGGAAUCGGUCCUAAUGGAGCUUUCUGAAGGGUCUCAAUCCUUUACACAGCUUCUCCGGGGGAUAGAUGAUUUCGAACAGCAUUCGUCAGAGGGGGAUUCUCAGAAUCAAACUGCGUGCAGCCCUUUAAGUAGCCAAUCCCCAUCACACUAUUGUCGACCGGACAGACCCAAAAGAAGGAUCACGGGUGCUUCAUGUACUCUGAACGAUGACAUCGAUGCUAUUCUGCCUUUCUGUUCGAACGGGUUUACCCUAACUCCCCCAGGAACCAAGCUACAUAUUUCCGCCCCAAACAUGGCACAACAUCUGCGCAAGUGCAUUGCGCAGAACCCCCCCGGCCCGAAAAGUUACUGCUUCAAGAAACGGCCCUAUACGGACAAGACUCCAAUGAGACAUGCCAUGCAGAAUCUGCAAGGCCUGGUGAAAAAAGUCUAAAGCCCCCGGUUUCCGUGAUUCGUCAGAACAGCCCGCGUCAAAAAAGCCAAGACUCCUCCCCGGCGUAUAAUGGCACAGAAGACCAUACACACCGAGAACACGCAGAGGAUUUCGGCACGCCAGACAUUCACAAUAAAACAACAAAACCGGAUGAUUUCAACGUUUUAAAUGACAUUCCUGAGGUAGACGACUGGAUAUUCUGUAACGCAGCCAAUCUUCUUGAUUCCUCCAAUUCUUAUGUAGAAACACCCAAACCUGAAAUAGACCAAGCUGGGUUUAUCAAUGCCUUUUCAAAGGCUCUAAAAUCCAGAAAUGUCUUGCUACACAAACGAAUGGUUAAUUUACUCGAGCGGCAAUACAGUCAGGAUCUAUCCUUCUGGCGUAGAACAAUUGUCACGAAUCCCACAGAAGGUGGCUCCCCUGCCUGCUCGGGCGGCGCUCGGCGGUCGUCGUCGCCGGCCUACUAGCCGCCGCUGAUCCCUUUUUCCUUUUCUGUUGGUAUGUCUUAUUGUUUGCACCUGUUCCUUAUUUGUGUGCGUUGAUUUGUGGUUAUUUAAGCCUGUUUAGCCCGCCCAGGUUUGUGCGGGAUUAUUUUAUCGUCAGUGUGCUUGUUUCAUGUGCUGGCGAUCUGCUUGGUUUAUUUUCUUUCCGGACUGUGUGCCCGUUGUGUAUGGGUUGGGAAUUUUGUUCACACGCCUGUUGUGUUGGCGUCGACCAUGUCGUACCAGAGAAAAUAAAUCUCAUUUUUCCUUACCUCUGCUCUCUGCGCCUGACUCCUACCACCACUCCUAGCAUUCGUGACAACAAUGCCCCGUUUGUUAAGCAACAAACCGUUUAAAAAACGCAAAUACCGGCGGUAAAAACAGUUACCGAAAUGGACAUGCCAAUAAUUGAGACAGUUGAAAGCCUUUUGGCGAAAAUACCCCCCGAUCUACAAGCUUUAAUUGAACGGAUGAACGAGGGUGGGGUAUCAGACAUAAUUCCGAUAGACGAAAAUCUAUUUUCCCAAAUUCCCGCCGACCUAAUUGAAAUAAUUAAACAUAUGAACGAGUCAGGAACAACCUAUGAAAACCAAUUAUUGCAAAUCCCGCCCGCCCUAGUUUUUUUAAUAAACCAGAUGAACGAGAGCAUGAGAUCUUCUACACCGGAACCCGCACACACCCCGCCAUUAACGCCCAUGUCAGAAGAGUCUGUAACGCAAUAUGAUGUUUUUGGCCGUACCAAUGCUUUGACCUUGCGGUAUGUAGCGCAACCAGACGAGACAAUAGGAUAUGUAGAUUUUACAUCUCUUUAUCCUCAUGUAAUGAGUUCCUCAUGCUAUCCUAUGGGGCAUCCUAAAAUUAUUCACCGUGACUUUGACUUACCCCAAAACUAUUUUGGUCUGAUCAAAGCAACUGUCUACCCACCUAGGGGUUUGUUUAUACCAGUGUUGCCUUACAAGGGACCUCAAGGAAAACUUUUCUUUCCCCUAUGUCGCACCUGCAGUGAAAACAACAACCAGGAAAAGCCUUGUGAUCACUCAGAUCAGGAAAGAGCCCUCACAGGUGUCUGGGUUACACCUGAAUUCUCAAAGGCUCUAGAUAAGGGGUACCGUGUGGCCAAAAUCUUUGAAGUGUGGAACUUUUCCAUGAAAUCAGACACUCUUUUUAAAGAGUACAUCAAGACCUUCUUGAGAUGCAAGCAAAUGGCUUCAAGCUAUCCUGCAUCCGUCACAGAUCAAGAGAGCAAAGACAAGUACAUUCGAGACUAUCAUGACACAGAAGGCAUACUUCUUGACCCCGACCGAAUAGAGGUCAACAAGACCAAACGAAAUGUGUCGAAAUUGUACUUAAACUCGCUUUGGGGGAAGCUUUCGCAGAGAUGCAAUAUGCUAAGAUCGUCGAUCAUUAAAGACCCCGAAGAAUUUUUGGAAUUUGUUUUUUCGGACCAAUACGAAAUUUCACAUUUUUCAUUCUUGAGUCAAGACAUUGCCCUGGUGCAAUGGAGACAUAACAAGAAGUGGGUUCUACCCCCGGGUAAUGUAAAUGUGUUUCUUGCAGCAUUUACCACGGCCUAUUGCCGACUUCAACUGUACGCCCUCAUGGAGCAGCUUCAGAGGAGGGUUCUUUACCGUGACACAGACUCUGUGGUCUAUGUAAGCAAACAGGGUGACUGGACCCCCCACUUAGCAACUAUCUGGGUGGUUUAACGAGUGAACUCAAAGAUGGUGACCAUAUCACAGAAUGGUCCUCCUGUGGGCCCAAAAGCUAUGCUUUUAGGACUAAAUACAAUCACGUGGUGUUGAAAGACAAAGGCGUGACUCAAAACUACGAAAAUGCCCCGCGUGUAAACUUGGAAUCAAUCACACACUUGGUCGAGGGGUUCAUAAACGAUCGGAAUAGUGACUUGGAGAUUUUGAGCUCCUACAAAAACAUUGUUAGGGAUAAAAAGGGAUUUCAUCUCAGGAAUGCCCCAGUUACUAAAAGAUUCAGGGUAGUCUAUGACAAGAGACUGCUUUUACCUAACGGGACCACACUGCCCUUUGGCUACUGACUUAUGCUACAAGCCCCAGUGUGUCUUAAAGCUUAAGAUAUAAUGGCUGCUGUAGAAGGUUUUGACCCCCGGUUGCAACUACCAUUUUCGGCCUUAAUCUCAGGCCCCUCCAACAGUGGUAAAACUUGUUUUGUAAAAAGUAUUUUAGAGAAUUCUGAACAUGUGUUAUCUCAGAAGCCUGACAAUAUUGUGUGGUGUUAUUCAUGUUAUCAUGAUGAAUUGUUGAAGAAAAUAAAAAUCAAGUUUGUUG
rnacentral:lncRNA from 1 species